GUUGCUCUGAGGGGCGUAACAAAGAUGGUGGAGCAGGCGGAGGGCAGAGGCGUCGGCAAGUUAGCGUGCAGGCGCGUGGCAGCGACAGGAGAUGUGUAGCCAGAGCGCAGAGCAGGUGUGGACUCCGGCGCUGGGGAAGCGUGGCCAGGGCGAGAUUUCAGCCUGGGUCGGGGACAGAAUGGGGACUGAUAGGGGCGUAACCUGGAAUGACGAAAUGACGUUUGCUGCGUAGGGACGUGGCUAAACGUGAGGGGGCGUGGCCAAGAUGGCCGCGUGCGGGAUCCUCGGGUACCGGGAGCGAACGAGGAGGUUCUGGCUCAGUGCAUCCACUCUGGGAGAGCGUGGACCUGGUUCCUGGGGGCGAUCGCCAGUCACCCAUCAACAUUCGGUGGAGGGACAGUGUUUAUGAUCCCGGCUUAAAACCACUGACCAUCUCUUAUGACCCAGCCACCUGCCUCCACGUCUGGAAUAAUGGGUACUCUUUCCUCGUGGAAUUUGAAGAUUCUACAGAUAAAUCAGCUGCACUUAGUGCAUUGGAACGCAGUCAAAUUUGAAAACUUUGAGGAUGCAGCACUGGAAGAAAAUGGUUUGGCUGUGAUAGGAGUAUUUUUAAAGUGGCACUAUCACAACAGAGUGACAUAAUGGUGGGAUAACAUGGACACUUGUCUUCUUCCUUACUGUAAUGGGACUAUUUCUACUCCACAUAAUCUGAUUAUUAAGUUCCUGCAACUUAACUGGGAACUGAUCAAGAUUUCAAGCUAAAGAUGGUGGUGAUGAACAGCCUGAGGGUCAUUCUUCAAGCCUCUCCAGGCAAAUUGCUGUGGAGAAAGUUCCAGAUUCCGAGAUUCAUGCCAGCGAGGCCCUGCAGCCUCUAUACUUGUACUUACAAAACCCGGAACCGAGCCUUGCAUCCACUCUGGGAGAGCGUGGACCUGGUUCCUGGGGGCGAUCGCCAGUCACCCAUCAACAUUCGGUGGAGGGACAGUGUUUAUGAUCCCGGCUUAAAACCACUGACCAUCUCUUAUGACCCAGCCACCUGCCUCCACGUCUGGAAUAAUGGGUACUCUUUCCUCGUGGAAUUUGAAGAUUCUACAGAUAAAUCAGUGACUGCCUCUUAUUUCCUGUUUAUUCUUUGCUGCUAUUUCUCCAUGUUGUUGCAAAACAAUCAAUAGCAUGCAAAGAGGAAAAAAAGAGUGAAUGAACAUAAAAAAUAAAAAGUGAAAGAAAGCAAGACAUUUUAGAAACAAAGGCAAGAAACAAUUCUAGAAAAGUAAAAACCUAAUAAAUAUCGAUGUCUAUAAAUUUCAAAGACAAAACCCUAAGAAAUGCUGCCACAGUGUGCUUUGUGAGGAUUGGAAUAAAGUGCAAGGAAAAGGAGCUGGGGAAGGUAUGUGACAAAAACAUCAUACCAGUCCUUUUGGGAUGCAGCUAAAGCAGUGCUUAGAGGGAAAUGUAUAGAUGAAAAUGCCUACAAUAGAGAAGAACUUUCUCAAGUCAGUAUCUCAGCUUUCCGCCUUAAGAAACUAGAAAAAGAAGAACAAACUAAACCCAAAAGCAAGUAGAGAGAAGGGCAUAAUAAAGAACGAGCAGAAAUCAAUGAAAUCAAAAGUUGGUUCUUUGGGAAGAUCAACAAAGUUCACAAACUUUUAAUUGGGGGAGACCAAGAAAAAAAUAAAAGAAGACUCAAAUUACUAAACUCUGGAAUGAAAGAGAGGACAACAUGACCUACCUACCUUGAUAGGAUUAUAAGAGAAGUGAUCAAGGGAGGACCCCUGGAACACAACUACCGAUUGAAGCAGUUCCAUUUUCACUGGGGGGCCAUCGAUGCCUGGGGUUCUGAGCACACCGUGGACAGCAAAUGCUUCCCAGCAGAGCUGCACUUAGUGCAUUGGAACGCAGUCAGAUUUGAAAACUUUGAGGAUGCAGCACUGGAAGAAAAUGGUUUGGCUGUGAUAGGAGUAUUUUUAAAGCUAGGCAAACAUCAUAAGGAGCUACAGAAAUUAGUGGAUACUUUGCCGUCAAUUAAGCAUAAGGACGCCCUUGUGGAAUUUGGGUCAUUUGACCCUUCCUGCCUGAUGCCUACCUGCCCAGAUUACUGGACCUACUCAGGGUCUCUGACUACCCCACCCCUCUCCGAGUCUGUCACCUGGAUCAUUAAGAAGCAACCAGUAGAGGUUGAUCAUGAUCAGCUUGAGCAAUUUCGGACCCUGCUUUUCACUUCCGAAGGGGAGAAAGAGAAAAGAAUGGUGGACAACUUCCGCCCCCUUCAGCCACUGAUGAAUCGCACUGUUCGUUCAUCCUUCCGGCAUGAUUAUGUGCUGAAUGUACAAGCGAAACCCAAGCCGGCCACCAGCCAAGCAACCCCCUAAAACAUUCAUAUCUAGGCAGUAUUUUGCUUUUGCUUUAAUAUAUACUAGCUUACUAUAAAUUGUUAACUAGACUAUUCUAAGUGCCUGCAUUUGAUAAUAUUUACAGAUGUGCAUUUCUUAGCAUGAGAGUGCUUCAUCAGUCUUUGAGGAAGGCUAUUCGGUACCAGCAAGAGACACAAGUUUCUCUUACAGAUACCUGUUGGUAAUUGUAAUGCCUUUUUUUUUUCUUUAAGAGACUAGGUCUUGCUCUGCUGCCCAGGCUAGAGUGCAGUGGCCAAAUGAUAGCUCACUGCAGCCUUGAACUCCUAGGCUCAAGCAGUCCUCCUGCCUUAGCCUCUAGAGUAGCUGGGGCUACAGGUGCUGGCCGCCUGGCCCAGCUUGUAAUAUCUUUUUAUGUCUGACAUUUUUGAGCUAUCUUUUUAUGUUUAUCCAUUAGUGGUUCUAUAGCACUAUACAUAGGGAUUAUAAUCAAAAUUUUUAACAUGUGGUAAGGCACAGACACUGACCAGAACUCAGGCCUUGCAGAAACAGCCUAUGGGCCCAGACUGGUACUUCCUGGCUGAAUAUUGGCCAUGGUUUUAGAUGUAUUUUAUUUUAUAACAUGAAUGUGUAUUCUUUCAUAAGGGCUUAUCAGUCAGUAUAUUUGCCCCAGUGUUUAGUUGUUACAAGGACAUGAUAUGCUUACUUACUAUCAGUUUAUGAUGUAGAAAAUAUAUUUUGUAAUUAUAAGAAAACAAGACUUUUCCUAUACCCAGAAAUCCCUUUGCAUUUCCGAAGAUCAGAUAUUUUGCUUAAAGGUCUGAUCAUAUAGGAAAUAUAUGCAGAACAUUUUAAAGAAAAUGCCUGGCUGGGCACAGUGGCUCACACCUGUAAUCCCAGCACUUUGGGAGGCUGAGGCGGGUAGCUCACUUGAGGUCAGGAGUUUGAGACCAGCCUGGCCAACAUGAUGAAACCCUGUCACUACUACAAAUAAAAAAUUAGCCAGGCAUGGUGGUGAGCACCUGUAAUGCCAGCUACUCGGGAAGCUGAGGCUGGAGAAUCGCUUGAACCCAGGAGGUGGUGGUUGUAGUGAACCAAGAUCACACCACUGCACUCCAGCCUGGGCAACAGAGUGAGACUCUGUGUCUAAUAAAAAAAAAAAAAGAAAAGAAAAGAAAAAAUGCUUAAAGUGCCUAGAACUUAGAAUUCUUUCAUUGCACAUUUCCAGAAAUAUUUUUCUUUUCUUUUUUUUUUUUUUUUUUGAGAUGGAGUCUCGCUCUGUCCCCCAGGCUGGAGUGCAGUGGCACUAUCUUGGCUCACUGCAACCUCCACCUCCCGGGUUUAAGCGAUUCUCCUGCCUCAGCCUCCUGAGUAACUGGGACUACAGGCACAUGCCACCACGCCCAGCUAAUUUUUGUAUUUUUAGUAGAGAUGGGGUUUCACUAUGUUGGCCAGGCUGGUCUUGAACUCCUGACCUCAGGUGAUCCACCCGCCUUGGCCUCCCAAAGUGCUGGGAUUACAGGCGUGAGCCACCGUGCCCGGCCUUCCAGAAAUAUUUUUCAAAGGACUAGUAAUCUAAUAGCCUAUAGUUUAUAUUAUUAUUUUGUAUUAUUUGCACGCUGUUACAUAGUAUAUAAUGAUAAUGUUUUCUACAGUGAAAGAGCUAUCCCGUCUUCCCUUUACAACUGUCUGAACUUUAUUUACUCAUUAGUCAAGGUUCUUUGCAAGGCAGGUGAUUAACUUAAAUAUCUCAGUUUAUACAGUGGUUUAAAAGACUUUUGUUAUGGUAAUAGGGAGAGAAACUUGUCAGAUAGGCUAAAAUCUAGAUAAUUCUACAUAUUCUGAGGAAUUCAUGCUCCUGUGGCUCUUGCUUAUAAAUAUCUUGGAAUGUUUCUGAAUGCCUCUAAGCCUAUGUUCAGACUCUGUUGCGUCAAUGACUGGUAGUAUUUCUUUCAUUAAUAUGUUUGUCAUCUGGUCUGCAAGAUAGGGUUGGAUGAAUAUACUUAACACUACUGAACUGUACACUUAAAGAUCGUUAGGAAGGAAACGGGACUACAUCAAACUUAAAAAUGUCUGUGUGUCAAAGGAAGCAAUCAACAAAGUGAAAACGCAAGCUCUAGAAUGAGAGAAAAUAAUUGCAAAUCGUCUAUCUUAUAAGGAGCCCAAAUCCAGAAUAUAUGAGGAACUUCUACAACUCAACAACAAAAAACCAAAUAACUCAAUUUUUAAAAAUGGGCAAAGGACUUGCACAGACAUUUCUCCAAAGAAGUUAUACAAUUGGCCAAUAAGAACAUGAAAAUAUGCUCAACAUUGCCAAUUAUUAGGGAAAUGCAAAUCAAAACCACAAUGAGAUAUCGUCUCACGCCCAUCAUGAUGGCCACUAUCAGAAGAACAAAAAAAUAACAAGUAUUGGGGAGGAUGCAGAGAAGUUGAAACCCUUGUGCACUGUUGGUGGUAAUGUAAAACGGUGCAGUCAUUACGGAAAACAGUACACAGGUUUCCCAAAUAACUGAAAACAGAAUUACCAUAAGAAUUACCACCAAAGCGGGAUCUCAAAGAGAUAUUUGUACACCCAUGUUCAUAGCAGCAUUAUUCACAAUAGCCAAGAGGUUCUGGAAGCAUCCCAAAUGUCCAUCAACAGAUGAAUAGAUAAAGGAAAUGUGGUAUAUACAGUCAAUGGAAUAUUAUUCAGCCUUUAAAAAGAAGGAAAUCCUGUCAAAUGUACAAUGUGGAUGAACCUUGAAGGCAUUAUGCCAAGUGAAAUAAGCCAGCCAACAAAAGAACAAAUGCUAUAUGAUUCCUCCAUGUGAAGUAUGCAAAGUAGUCAAAAUCAUACAAUAGAAAGUAGAAAGGUGGUUGCCAAGCAACGGUUGGGGGAAGGGGAGAGGGUGAAUUUGUAUUUAGUGGGUACAGAGCUUGUGUUGCAAGAAUUCUAGAGAUCUGUUGCAAAACAAGUGUGAUUGUACUUAACACUACUGAACUGUAUACGUAUAAGUUUGAGAAAUAUCUCUUUUAAAAAGGGGGAAAUGUGAAGGCUUUUGCAUGUAUGCCCUAGGAAAUGCAUAGAAUUCUUAGAAAGGUAAACAUGGUAAAAAAAGAAGUCUUUGUUAACUUUCUGCAGUUCACCUGUUUCAAAGUAUAGUUACCUUUAAAAGGGUAAACACACAAGAUAUGCAUUUUCCAAAGCAUACAGGCUUUCCUCCUAGCUGUCUUGUUUUUUAUUUUUUUUUAUUUUUUUUAUUUUUUUGAGACAGAGUCGCGCUGUCACCCGGGCUGGAGUGCAGUGGCGCGAUCUCGGCUCACUGCAAGCUCCGCCUCCCGGGUUCACGCCAUUCUCCUGCCUCAGCCUCCUGAGUAGCUGGGACUACAGGCGCCCGCCACCACACCCGGCUAUUUUUUGUAUUUUAAGUAGAGACAGGGUUUCACCGUGUUAACCAGGAUGGUCUCGAUCUGACCUCGUGAUCCACCCGUCUUGGCCUCCCAAAGUGCUGGGAUUACAGGUGUGAGCCACUGUGCCUGGCCUUCCUAGCUGUCUUGUGAAACGAUAAGUCAAAACCCUACUGCAGUGAGUUUUCCAAACUGAAGGGAGAAGCAAUGUACAGAAUGCCUGACUUGCCCUUACAUCUUAUACCUGGUGUUCUGGCAUGAUUAUUAACCACACUCUUUUUCACUUUGAACCAUGUCCUGGUUUGCAUGGCCAGCUUCCCUGCAGAGGUGAUAGAAACUGACUUGAGGCAGUUUCUUUCUCCAUGCCUUAGUUAGAUGACCCUCAAAGGGGCACAGCAGAUUUCCCUGGCUACUGAUACACCUUAACAAGAAGCUUGUGUUUUUUAUGCCCUCAAAAGUGUUUUACUUAUACUUUCCUAGACAUAAAGGUGGAAAAUGGGCCUAAGGUCUGUCAAAGGUCUUGGAAAAGAAGAUUGUAUUAAAAUUGCUGUCCGUCUUCAUUAAAUAAUACUAGAUCGAUACAAUGCUUUCUUUACAGUAUUAGUGGUUGGUGAAAGACUUCCUUCCUAUUGUUACAGUAUAUGUAUAUAUCUGUAAAAUUAAUGAGAUAUCCUUUAACUUGUAGAUUAGAAAGCGACUAAAAACUCAUAGGGGAUUUACUAAAGAAGCAACAAUGGGAAGAAGCAGCCGAUCCUCCUCAGUGCACCUUUUUCUGUUGCACAGUACAGUGCACAGUGUGCUGGCAUCACCAUAUAGGGCAAGCUGUGACCGCCUUUCUCCUUUCCCAGGGCUACAUGGUGCCAAGCAGGUUCAGUGUACACUGGUUACCAACCUGUCUGAUUCCAUUGUGACAGAACACACUCACACCCAAUACAUUACAUGAAGCAGAUUUAUUACUUACAGACAGGAAGCAAGGGACAAAAGAGGCCCUGGCUCCAUUGUGAGCCAGUCCCCCAGGGCUCAAGAAAGCUGCCCAGGGCGGGGCUGAUGGAGUCUUGAUUGUACGUGCCCCACUUGCACCACAGCCUGCCUUGGGUUAUAUACCAUAGGAGCCACAUAACUCAUUGGGCAAAGCUUUAAAGUACAUCCUCCUUCCAGGGGAAAGAGGAACACAACCUCGCUGUCUCAAACAGUUCCCUAAAUCAAGAUGUUACAUUCCCUAGGAGGGACAACAACAAGGCCAACCUGUUUCAGGCAGUUCCUCCAUAUCAGGAUAUUGCAUUCCCAGUGCAUUCUACAGUUAUUCUUAAGAACUACAAGCAAGGAAGAAGGGAGAACUGGGUCAGUCCAAGGCCACCUGGAGAACUGUCUUGUACAUGGGUUAGGGUAAAGUUGGCUAUUCUAAAACUAAGCAUCCGCCCAAAAGAAGUCUUGGAAGAUGUCUUUCCCUGUUAAAUUCAGAUGAUGGUAAUUAUAGUUUGGAAGUGGAAUUGGCUUUUAGAGUUACUUCCUGUAAUGAAAUUAACAAGCAAUUCAGGCCUAUUUCUGAAAAUGAAUUCAGUGGUUAAUUGUUAAAAAUAAAUGUCUAACUCCUAUAAAAGGAAAUUUACAUUCAUUUCUAACUCACUAAAAAAUCUAUGGCCGGGUGCGGUGGCUCAUGCCUGUAAUCCCAGCAUUUUGGGAGGCCGAGGCGGGCAGAUUACCGGAGGUCAAGAGUUCGAGAACAGCCUGGCCAAUAUGGUGAAACCCCGUCUCUACUAAAAAAUACAAAAAUUAGCCAGGUGGUUGUGGCAUGCACCUGUAAUCCCAGCUACGCAGGAGGCUGAGGCAGAAGAAUCGCUUGAGCCCAGGAGGCGGAGGUUGCAGUGAGCCGAGAUUUCUUAGAAGGAAUUGUUACUUAUUGUUCUGAAGUGAAAGUCUGGUCUGAUUCAGAAGAAAUGUUACAACAACUUAAACACUGAUGCUUUCAGAACGGGCAGCAAUUCUCAGCGUAAAUUCUGAUCACAGGGACCAGCAAAAUUGGUGAGUUGCAUAGCUACAACAUUCUGUGCCAUCCAGGGCACUCUAGUUUGGGGAUACAACUGCCAAACCUCCAACUAGAGAGUUUAGUUUAAGAUUUAGUCAAGAAGCAGAAAGGUAAAGGUGACAAUGUGUAGUAAACCAUGAUAGAUGUUAUAAAAGGUGGAAUACUUGUACUGGAAAUGCAUACAGCGCCUCAUCCCCUCUUGAGGGGUCAGGAAGUUUUCACACUAAUGAUGAUGGUGAUGAGAUGAUGUAACAGCUAAAGUUUUGGAGGCAUUCACUAUUGCUAGGCACUGUAUCAGCAUAUAACAUGGCUUAUCUUACUCAGUUUUCACAAUAAAAGGGUUAUGAGAUGGGAA
rnacentral:lncRNA from 1 species